rnacentral:rRNA from 1 species
UACGUAGGUGGCAAGCGUUAUCCGGAAUUAUUGGGCGUAAAGCGCGCGCAGGCGGUUUCUUAAGUCUGAUGUGAAAGCCCACGGCUCAACCGUGGAGGGUCAUUGGAAACUGGGGAACUUGAGUGCAGAAGAGAAAAGCGGAAUUCCACGUGUAGCGGUGAAAUGCGUAGAGAUCGGGAGGAACACCCGUGGCGAAGGCGGCUCACUGGGCUGACCUUGACGCUGAGGCGCGAAGGCGUGGGGAGCGAACGGG